rnacentral:tRNA from 1 species
GCCUCCUUAGCUCAGUUGGUUAGAGCGCGCGAUUCUAAGCGUGAGGUCCCGAGUUUGACUCUCGGAGGGGGCA